GAGAAAGGAAGAGAAGAAACUUGAAGCUAGAGGAAGAAUGGGUUCGGCCAAGGGAAAAAAAGCCCAAAAACGUUACCAAACAGCCCCAAAGUUUUAGCCGCGCUAGGAGAGCUUCCGAGGCAAGUUUUGGAGAGUUUCGGUAAAGACUAACAAGUUGGAAGAUAAGAAAAGCUAGUAAGGCGCGGUACAGGUACACCUAGACAAGUAGAAGCUACUAUAGAAGAUGUUCCAGCGGGGUUAGCAACUCCACUUGUUCCUGGAGUGCUGCCGAGUCAGAGUAUAUGCGCUAUGAUGUUUCAUUCGAAGUUAGAGACUUUGCAGAUAGAGUCGUGGGUAUAGAGUGUCAGCUUUGUAAGCGGCGUCACCAACCGAUAUGUUAUUAUGUAGUAUGUCAUGAGUUUAUGAGAUGAUGGAUUUUGGAUUGCAAGAUUCGGAAAGCGUAGCUAUGUUUUUCAUUUCUUUUUUAUGCAAAAUUCUAAAGAGAUUGAGAAUGUAAUAUGAAUUAGUGGGUUCGCUCGGCUCCGAGCACGGGGUUAGGUGCCCAUCACACCCUGUUGAGAUCGGGGUGUGACAGUAAGACUAAUUGCUAACCUCCUAAAAAGAAUAAGUAGGUGAUGCACCUACUUAGAAUAUGUGGACUGUAUAUUAAAUGAAAAGGGCAAGUAGAUGAUGCAACUACUUACAAUC